rnacentral:rRNA from 1 species
GUGAGGAAUAUUGGUCAAUGGGCGGAAGCCUGAACCAGCCAUGCCGCGUGCAGGAAGACGGCUCUAUGAGUUGUAAACUGCUUUUGUACUAGGGUAAUUUGCGGUACGUGUACCGUAUUGAAAGUAUAGUACGAAUAAGGAUCGGCUAACUCCGUGCCAGCAGCCGCGGUAAUACGGAGGAUCCAAGCGUUAUCCGGAUUUAUUGGGUUUAAAGGGUGCGUAGGCGGCAGAUUAAGUUAGAGGUGAAAUUCCGAGGCUCAACCUUGGCACUGCCUCUGAUACUGGUUUGCUAGCGAGUAGAUGCUGUAGGCGGAAUGUGUGGUGUAGCGGUGAAAUGCAUAGAGAUCACACAGAACACCGAUUGCGAAGGCAGCUUACAAAUCUAUAUCGGACGCUGAGGCACGAAAGCGUGGGGAGCAAACAGGAUUAGAAACCCUAGUAGUCC